GCGCAUGACUCCGACGUCAAAGAUUUAUCGCUGGAAGAUGGCCUCGCGUCUGAUUAGCUAGUUGGUGAGGUAACGGCCCACCAAGGCGACGAUCAGUAGCCGGACUGAGAGGUUGGCCGGCCACAUUGGGACUGAGAUACGGCCCAGACUCCUACGGAAGGCAGCAG
rnacentral:rRNA from 1 species